rnacentral:lncRNA from 1 species
UAGAGAAAGGCAACUCAUGGAAGCUUUAUUUCUUGCGCUGGUUCAUACGUGGCUGACUUGUCAUGGUAGGCUUGGAAGGUAUCAGGGGUUUUACUCUUGGAUCGUAUUUCCUUGAUCUUGCAAGGAGAUUCCUUGGUUUACUGGGUUAGUGAUCCUGGAUGGAGCCAGGUUCAAAAGUGCAUGCUGGGCGAAAAGUUAUGGUAGUACGAAGGAACGGAA